GGCUGAGUAACACGUAGACAACUUACCUAUUACACAGACACAGCUCAUGGAAACGUGGGGUAAUAUCUGAUGGUCUCGUAUGGUGAAACUCCAUGCGGGUAAAGCUUGGUAGCAAUAUCCGGCGGUAAUAGAGAGGUCUGCGGCCCAUCAGCUAGUUGGUAGGGUAAAAGCCUACCAAGGCUAUGACGGGUAGGGGAUCUGAGAGGAUGACCCCCCAGCAUGGGACUGAGACACGGCCCAUACUCCUACGGGAGGCAGCACUCAGGAAUUUUCCGCAAUGGACGAAAGUCUGACGGAGCGACGCCGCGUGAGGGAUGAAGGUUCUCGGAUCGUAAACCUCUUUUGCCAAGGAAUAGGAAGGAAGGUACUUGGCGAAUAAGGAGCUGCAAACUGCGUGCCAGAAGCAUCGGUGAUACGUGGGCUCCAAGCGUUGUCCGGAUUUACUGGGCGUAAAGUGCGUGUAGGCGGUUAGGUGGAUUCUCUUUUAAAUAUCCUGGCUUAACUAGGAAAGAGGAGGGAAUAUCGCCUGGCUAGAAGUGAGAAGAGGAGAUCGGAACGUGUAGUGGAGCGGUGAAAUGUGUUGAUAUUACACGGAACGUCGGUUGCGAAGGCUGAUCUCUGGUCUUAACUCGACGCUGAUACGCGAAAGCUAGGGGAGCGAAACGGAUUAGAUACCCGUGUAGUCCUAGCCGUAAAUGAUGCUCACUAGAUGUUGGUCUUGCUCUUUUUCUUCCCUUAGGGGAGGUCACAGAGGGAUCAGUGUCGAAGAUAACUCGUUAAGUGAGCCGCCUGAAAAGUAUGCUCGCAAGAGUGAAACUCAAAGGAAUUGGCGGGGACCCGCACAAGCGGUGGAGCGCGUGGUUUAAUCCGACGGUAAUCGUAAAAUCUUACCAGGGUUUGACAUGCUGCUGCAGGCUUUUGGAAACAAGAGCGGCCUUAGAGGGUGCAGUACAGGUGCUGCAUGGCCGUCGUCAGCUCGUGCCGUGAGGUGUACCGUUAAGUCGGGUAACGAGCGAAACCCCUAUCCCAUGUUAUAAGUGUCUUGGGAAACUGCCGCGGUAAAACGUGGAGGAAGGAGGGGAUGAUGUCUGGUCGUCACGGCCCUUAUGCCCUGGGCUACACACGCGCUACAAUGGUAUGGACAGCGAGCAGCCACACUGCAAAGUGGAGCUAAUCUCACAAACCAUACCUCAGUUCAGAUUGUGGGCUGAAACUCGCCCACAUGAAGCCGGAAUCGCUAGUAAUCGCAGAUCAGCCAUGCUGCGGUGAAU
rnacentral:rRNA from 1 species